ACAAAAAUGGCAUAUCCCACAAAAUUGCGGCCAACGCGGCACAGGAGAGAGGGAGGUUUGUCUUUGUGCAAUAGAGCGCGCUUGCUACCGUCCCCUCCACUGACAGAGCAAAUUCAAAUAGCGAUACAC
ensembl:ncRNA H13N06.9 ncRNA